rnacentral:rRNA from 1 species
CUGCCCUUUGUACACACCGCCCCGUCGCUACUACCGAUUGAAUGGCUCAGUGAGGCGUCCGGACUGGCCCAGAGAGGUGGGCAACUACCACUCAGGGCCGGAAAGCUCUCCAAACUCGGUCAUUUAGAGGAAGUAAAAGUCGUAACAAGGUCUCCGUUGGUGAACCAGCGGAGGGAUCAUUACCGAGUUUACAACUCCCAAACCCCUGUGAACAUACCACUUGUUGCCUCGGCGGAUCAGCCCGCUCCCGGUAAAACGGGACGGCCCGCCAGAGGACCCCUAAAACUCUGUUUCUAUAUGUAACUUCUGAGUAAAACCAUAAAUAAAUCAAAACUUUCAACAACGGAUCUCUUGGUUCUGGCAUCGAUGAAGAACGCAGCAAAAUGCGAUAAGUAAUGUGAAUUGCAGAAUUCAGUGAAUCAUCGAAUCUUUGAACGCACAUUGCGCCCGCCAGUAUUCUGGCGGGCAUGCCUGUUCGAGCGUCAUUUCAACCCUCAAGCACAGCUUGGUGUUGGGACUCGCGUUAAUUCGCGUUCCUCAAAUUGAUUGGCGGUCACGUCGAGCUUCCAUAGCGUAGUAGUAAAACCCUCGUUACUGGUAAUCGUCGCGGCCACGCCGUUAAACCCCAACUUCUGAAUGUUGACCUCGGAUCAGGUAGGAAUACCCGCUGAACUUAAG